rnacentral:rRNA from 1 species
UAACCAGCAAUGGAGGCAGCCGACCACGGUAGGGUCAGCGACUGGGGUGAAGUCGUAACAAGGUAGCCGUAGGGGAACCUGCGGCUGGAUCACCUCCUUUCUAAGG